rnacentral:rRNA from 1 species
CCUACGGGAGGCAGCAGUGGGGAAUAUUGGACAAUGGGGGCAACCCUGAUCCAGCCAUGCCGCGUGUGUGAAGAAGGCCCUCGGGUUGUAAAGCACUUUCAGUGAGGAAGAACGCCUGGUGGUUAAUACCCAUCAGGAAAGACAUCACUCACAGAAGAAGCACCGGCUAACUCCGUUCCAGCAGCCGCGGUAAUACGGAGGGUGCGAGCGUUAAUCGGAAUUACUGGGCGUAAAGCGCGCGUAGGUGGCUUGAUAAGCCGGUUGUGAAAGCCCCGGGCUCAACCUGGGAACGGCAUCCGGAACUGUCAAGCUAGAGUGCAGGAGAGGAAGGUAGAAUUCCCGGUGUAGCGGUGAAAUGCGUAGAGAUCGGGAGGAAUACCAGUGGCGAAGGCGGCCUUCUGGACUGACACUGACACUGAGGUGCGAAAGCGUGGGUAGCAAACAGGAUUAGAUACCCCAGUAGUC